GUGCUGUAUUGUCUUGCUAUUUUACAUGGUGAUAGCAAUUCUGCACCUCUCUUCUGAAGUGUGUGUAGCUUUAACCUAAGCCAGGCUACUGCCAAUUACCCGAAGUUGCACCUAUUUUUACGAAUGUUACAAUAAUUUUCGUUUCAUAUUUGGUGUGCAUCUACAUUUCAGCAAGCACAUGCCUCGUCCUGUAUCUGACACACA
rnacentral:lncRNA from 1 species